CGCGCGGCGGGCGGGGGGCGGGGGCACGGGGGGGCACAAGCGGUGGAGCAUGUGGUUUAAUUCGACGCAACGCGAAGAACCUUACCUGGGCUUGAACUGCAGGUUGUAAGGACCCGAAAGGGCGACGAUCCUGGUUUCCAGGAAGCCUGUAGAGGUGCUGCAUGGCUGUCGUCAGCUCGUGUCGUGAGAUGUUGGGUUAAGUCCCGCAACGAGCGCAACCCUUGCCUUUAGUUGCCAGCGAGUCAUGUCGGGCACUCUAAGGGGACUGCCUCGGAUAACGAGGAGGAAGGUGGGGAUGACGUCAAGUCAGCAUGGCCUUUAUGUCCAGGGCUACACACGUGCUACAAUGGACGGUACAAAGGGCAGCAAGACCGCGAGGUGGAGCUAAUCCUAAAAACCGUUCUCAGUUCGGAUUGCAGGCUGCAAUUCGCCUGCAUGAAGUCGG
rnacentral:rRNA from 1 species